GCUACGAACACUCAAAUGAAGUUCCAUCUCCACCACCACCACCACCUCCGCCUCCACAAUUUCAAAACCAUCAUCCGCCAUUUUGCCACCAAAUACAGUGGCAGAGUAAUCCAAGAAACCUUAAAUGGAAAAACAUUCUCCGUAACAAUAAAAACCCAAAAUAUCCAACGAGACAUUCGUGGUUACCCCAUUCCUCGCCAUGACCUAAUUUGCAAAAUCACCAAAAUCCUUCAAUCAUCAUCACCAGCAAUAUCUCCAUCAUCGAAACUAAUCAUUGACCCAUUUCUUCAAGUCUCAGAUUAUCUCCAAACCUUAAACCUAACCUUAACUCCAUCAGAAGCAAGUGAGAUUUUAAAAUCACUGAAAACCUCUCAAAAAGCAUUAGAAUUCUUUAAGUUUUGUUCUGAUGAAAUCCCUGGGUUUAAACAUGAUUGUUUUACUUAUAAUCGGAUUCUUACCAUCUUAUCGAAGUCGAAUUCGUUGGAAAUUGUGAAAUCAGUUGUGGAUGAGAUGGAGAAAUGUGGGAUUAAAGGGAAUAUAUCUACUGUUAAUAUAUUGAUUGGGAUUUUUGAUGGGGUUUUGGAAUUGGAGAAAUGUGUUGGGUUAGUUAAGAAAUGGGGGUUAUUGUUUAAUUGUUAUACUUAUAAAUGUUUACUUCAAGCUUAUUUGAGGUGUAAUGAGGUUUCGAAGGCUUUUCAUGUUUAUAUUGAAAUGAGAAGGAAAGGUUAUGUUCUGGAUAUCUUUGCUUAUAAUAUGCUAUUGGAUGCUCUUGCCAAAGAUGAUAAGGCUGAGCAGGCAUCUAAAGUUUUUGCAGACAUGAAGCGGAAGCACUGUGAGCCCGAUGGGUAUACAUACACAAUUAUGAUCAGGAUGAAUGGAAAGAUUGGGAAAGCAGAGGAAUGUUUGUCUCUCUUUCAAGAUAUGAUAACCAAGGGAUGUUCCCCCAAUUUGAUUGCCUAUAAUACCAUGAUUCAAGCACUUGCAAGGAACCAUAUGGUUGAUAAAAUGGUUUUUCUUUUCUCUAAAAUGGUUGAGAAGGGAUGCCAGCCAAAUGAAUUCACAUACAGUGUUAUUUUGGAUGGUCUUGCUGCAGAAGGUCAACUUACCAGAUUAGAUGAGGUUGUGGAAAUGUCUAAGAAAUACAUGCACAAAGGUAUCUAUUCUUAUUUGGUGAAGACACUGAGUAAAUCAGGUCAUGCAAGUGAAGCUCAUAGGCUGUUUUGUAAUAUGUGGAAUUUUAAUGAUGGGGGUGAUAGGGAUGCUUAUAUGUCUAUGCUGGAGAGUCUAUGCCAUUCAGGAAAAACUGCAGAAGCUCUCGACCUUCUCAAUAAAAUUCAUGAAAAAGGAAUCAUGACUGAUACAGUCAUGUAUAACAUGGUAUUCUCUGCUCUUGGCAAGUUGAAGCAGAUUUCUCAAAUUCACGAUCUUUAUGAGCAUAUGAAGAUAAACGGCCCUUCCCCAAACAUAUUCACCUAUAAUAUUCUUCUUGCUGGUUAUGGUAGAGCUGGUGGAGUUGAUGACGCAGUUAAACUAUUUGAAGAGAUGGAAAGUGGCGAUUGUCGACCAGAUAUCAUUACUUACAAUUCUUUGAUCAAUUGUCUUGGCAAAAAUGGUGACCUCGAUGAAGCCCACAUGAAGUUCAAGGAGAUGCAAGAGAAGGGUUUGAAUCCUGAUGUUGUAACUUACAGUAAUCUCAUUGAGUGCUUUGGGAAAAAGAAUAGGGUUGAAAUGGCUCUCACUUUGUUUCAUGAGAUGCGUGCAGAAACUUGUUACCCUAACAUUGUGACAUAUAAUAUUUUACUCGAUUGUCUUGAGAAGUGUGGCAAAAGAUCAGAAGCACUUGAGCUGUAUGCUAAGCUGAAACAGCAAGGACUAACUCCAGAUACUAUUACGUACGCUGUUCUUGACCGUUUGCAAAGUAAAUCACAUAAAACUGUAAGAAUACGAAGGCAGAGUCCUAUUUCAGGAUGGGUUUUUAGCCCUAUAGGCUGAGUUGUGGCGUGUGAAUUGACUACCUCGACCAGCAAUGGGAGUCUAGAAAUGGAAAUUGACAAGCUUGGAUAACCCUUGGAGAGAAACUGAGAUCAGCUUCCAGUUUGUUCUCCUAAUAUCAGCUUCUCGCCCGUUUUCAUGUGCCAGAAAGCUGAAAAAUGAUCGAAGGUGGAGCCUGAAGUUUUGGAUUGUUGCUCCAUGCUGCUACAGAAAUCAACAUCUGCAUCUAUUUACUGGUCUGGUAGUUGUUUGCAAACCCAUGAUAAUCAUAACUGAGCUGGAAUACCAGUGCUGGUACACUGGUAUCUCAAACGUUGGAAAUAGAGAAAGAAUUGAAGACAUGCUCAUUUGGUUCAUUAACUGGUUUCAGAAACUUUUACUUACCCGGAGUGUUUCUGAGGCUGUUGGCGCCAAACCAACCUUGCCUGUCUGGUCACCAUGGGUUUUAAAGAUGCAGUGAAAAGAUCUGACAACACUCUAAUACUGGUGGAAUAUUCCUUCUGAAUCCUGGCAGAGAUGUCUUGCUUGGGGUGAGUAGUUCAUGAAGGCACACUAAGGCUGCCAGGUAUGACGGUUACUACUAGACGCAGUGGUCAAAAUAUCUGCCUCCCUGCUCGGAAAUCUAUCACCUUUCUUGUUCAACUUCUGUUAUGUACAAGGUUGUUCAACUGUGUUCUUCACUAUUGUAUGAAAUUUGAGGAAACCUGUUUUGAGGCAUACUCAAAUGUUUUGAGGCAUACAUCUGUCUAAGUUCGGCUGAAAAGUUAUCAGCCGAACCUUGAGUUAUCAGUCGAACCUAGGCAAAAACAUAGGUUGUCAGCCGAACCUUGAGUAUGUCUCAGAAAAUUUGAGUAUGCCUCAAAAUAUGUUUCAAUUUGAGUACAGAGAAGAAAACUAGAAAAAUCUUCAAUGAACUUAAGCCCAUUA